GCGUAUAAAGAAGGCUUUGACAUGAAUUGGACUAAUACGAUUCGCGCACCGACGAAAUAAGAGCCGGAAUCAUGAGGAAAUAUCAGAUUUACGUGAUUUGUUUUGUUGUUUUGGCUUUUGCCGCUGCCACAGCUACAAGAGUUUGCAGCAACAGAAAUAUCUUGUGCUCUGUGGUUAGAUCAACUAGUUGUUCAAAGAAAAUCGUUUCCAGUCAUUGCCCAAGGCUUUGCAACACAUGUGGAGGUAAUACGGCUUCUUACACUUGAGGGGGUUGUCAUUGCAUUUUAGUUGUGAAUCUACCUAAUUUGUUUCGUAAUAACAAAAUGUCGAAACAUAAAGGCGUCAAUGCGCGUUGAUUGUGGCUACCAUGGAAUUAGUCCGUUGGAUUGCUUGAGAAGGGGAUGUUGUUAUGGCGAAUUAAAGGUGGCUGGCCCGUGGUGUUAUCAUCGAAAAGGUAAAUUUUCGACUAUGUUUUCGGCAUUAACACUGACAAUUUGGGCCACUAAUUAUUUCUCCAAAUACUCUAGCAAACUGUCCCAUGAUUGAAGCAAAAAAACGUGAAGAUUGUGGUUACCCUGGGAUAAGCAAAUCAGAUUGCGUCAAAAAAGGAUGCUGUUACAACGCGAUCAAGGAAAAGGGACCGUGGUGUUAUUACAGGCAAGGUAAGUUGUUCCGCUCUUACUGAUUAGGUAUUUUGAAAGCAUUGUGUACUCUUCUAUCCGUAUUUUUGUUUUUAGAAAAAUGCCGGAAAAUUGCAGCAACAAGACGUCAUGAUUGUGGUUAUCCAGGCAUAACGAAGCGGGCAUGCGAGAAGAAAGGCUGUUGUUAUAGUGAAUUGCUAAACCAAAGUGGACCGUGGUGCUAUCACCGCCUAGAAAAAUGUCUGCGCAAAGCAACAGAACGUGACGACUGCGGCUAUCCUGGUAUAACAGAAUUCGAAUGCAUGAAAAGAGGUUGCUGCUAUAAUUCAUUGCCCGGUCGUGGGCCAUGGUGUUAUUACCGAUGAGAUACGAGGACCUUCGGAAGAUUAUAUGCGAACUUUAGUGUACUCAUUGUUGUAAAAAUAUGUUGUCAAAUAAAUACCUAUAUAUGAACUUUUCCUUCCCAAUAAGAUCCAGUAGGAGAUGAAUGA